GGGCUCGUGGCUCAGUUUGGAUAUUUUGGAAAAAUGUGUUUUUUCAGGACCAAAAAGAGCGACUGGCUUCGGACCAGUAGGUCGGGGGUUCAAAUUCAAGGGGACUCCCUUGAGGCGUGCAUGGCGUUCAGCCAAUGUUCAUUUCCCUCCGGGCUCA
rnacentral:tRNA from 1 species